rnacentral:rRNA from 1 species
GAGUUUGAUCCUGGCUCAGAACGUACGCUGGCGGCACGCCUAACACAUGCAAGUCGAACGCAGUAGCAAUACUGAGCGGCAGACGGGUGAGUAUAAUGUGGGAAUCUGCCUUUUGGUUUGGAAUAACACGAGGAAACUUGUGCUAAUACCGGAUAAGCCUUUACAGGGAAAGUUUUAAUGCCAAAAGAUGAGCCCGCACUUGAUUAGCUAGUUGGUAAGGUAAUAGCUUACCAAGGCAACGAUCAAUAGCUGUUCUUAGAGGAAGACCAGCCACAUUGGGACUGAGACACGGCCCAAACUCCUACGGGAGGCAGCAGUGGGGAAUCUUGCACAAUGGGGGAAACCCUGAUGCAGCGAUGCCGCGUGAGUGAAGAAGGCCUUUGGGUUGUAAAACUCUUUCGUCGGGGAAGAAAAUGACUGUACCCGAAUAAGAAGGUCCGGCUAACUUCGUGCCAGCAGCCGCGGUAAUACGAAGGGACCUAGCGUAGUUCGGAAUUACUGGGCUUAAAGAGUUCGUAGGUGGUUAAAAAAGUUGAUGGUGAAAUCCCAAGGCUCAACCUUGGAACUGCCAUCAAAACUUUUUAGCUAGAGUAUGAUAGAGGAAAGUGGAAUUUCUAGUGUAGAGGUGAAAU